rnacentral:rRNA from 1 species
CAGUCGCCGCGGUAAUACGGAGGGUGCGAGCGUUAAUCGGAAUAACUGGGCGUAAAGGGCACGCAGGCGGACUUUUAAGUGAGGUGUGAAGUCCCCGGGCUUAACCUGGGAAUUGCAUUUCAGACUGGGGGUCUAGAGUACUUUAGGGAGGGGUAGAAUUCCACGUGUAGCGGUGAAAUGCGUAGAGAUGUGGAGGAAUACCGAAGGCGAAGGCAGCCCCUUGGGAAUGUACUGACGCUCAUGUGCGAAAGCGUGGGGAGCAAACAGGAUAAGAUACCCGCGUAGUCCCUGUCUCUUAUAA